CUUGUCUUCAAAGAUUAAGCCAUGCAUGUCUAAGUAUAAGCUUUUAUACGGUGAAACUGCGAAUGGCUCAUUAAAACAGUUAUAGUUUAUUUGAUGGUCUUUUUUACAUGGAUAACCAUGGUAAUUCUAUGGCUAAUACAUGCGCAUAGGCCUCCUCCUCUGGAGGGGCUGUGUUUAUUAGAUACAAAACCAACCCACUUUGUGGAGCCUUGGUGAUUCAUAGUAACCGAACGGAUCGCAGUUGGCUUUCGGGCCCGCGAUGGAUCAUUCAAGUUUCUGACCUAUCAGCUUUCGACGGUAGGGUAUUGGCCUACCGUGGCAGUGACGGGUAACGGGGAAUUAGGGUUCGAUUCCGGAGAGGGAGCCUGAGAAACGGCUACCACAUCUAAGGAAGGCAGCAGGCGCGCAAAUUACCCAAUGAAAACAGUUUCGAGGUAGUGACGAGAAAUAACAAUACAGGGCAUUUUAUGCUUUGUAAUUGGAAUGAUGGGAAUGUAAAACCCUUCCAGAGUAACAAUUGGAGGGCAAGUCUGGUGCCAGCAGCCGCGGUAAUCCCAGCUCCAAUAGUGUAUAUUAGAGUUGUUGCAGUUAAAAAGCUCGUAGUUGGAUUUCUGUCGUGGUCAUCCUGUGCUGCCCGUAUGGGUGUGCACGUGGUUUGCCCUCGGCUUUCUUCGGGUAGCC
rnacentral:rRNA from 1 species